rnacentral:rRNA from 1 species
UACGUAGGGUGCGAGCGUUAAUCGGAAUUACUGGGCGUAAAGUGUGCGCAGGCGGCCGCGCAAGUCGAGUGUGAAAGCCCCGGGCUUAACUUGGGAAUUGCGCUCGAAACUACGUGGCUGGAGUAUGGCAGAGGAAGGUGGAAUUCCACGUGUAGCGGUGAAAUGCGUAGAGAUGUGGAGGAACACCCGUGGCGAAGGCGGCCGGCUGGGCCGGAUCCGACGCUGAGGCGCGAAAGCGUGGGGAGCAAACAGG